rnacentral:rRNA from 1 species
AUGCAAGUCGAACGAUGAACCAGGAGCUUGCUCUUGGGGAUUAGUGGCGAACGGGUGAGUAACACGUGAGUAACCUGCCCUUGACUCUGGGAUAAGCGUUGGAAACGACGUCUAAUACCGGAUACGAGCUUCAGCCGCAUGGCUAGGAGCUGGAAAGAAUUUCGGUCAAGGAUGGACUCGCGGCCUAUCAGCUAGUUGGUGAGGUAAUGGCUCACCAAGGCGACGACGGGUAGCCGGCCUGAGAGGGUGACCGGCCACACUGGAACUGAGACACGGUCCAGACUCCUACGGGAGGCAGCAGUGGGGAAUAUUGCACAAUGGGCGAAAGCCUGAUGCAGCAACGCCGCGUGAGGGACGACGGCCUUCGGGUUGUAAACCUCUUUUAGCAGGGAAGAAGCGAAAGUGACGGUACCUGCAGAAAAAGCACCGGCUAACUACGUGCCAGCAGCCGCGGUAAUACGUAGGGUGCAAGCGUUGUCCGGAAUUAUUGGGCGUAAAGAGCUCGUAGGCGGUUUGUCGCGUCUGCUGUGAAAUCCCGAGGCUCAACCUCGGGUCUGCAGUGGGUACGGGCAGACUAGAGUGCGGUAGGGGAGAUUGGAAUUCCUGGUGUAGCGGUGGAAUGCGCAGAUAUCAGGAGGAACACCGAUGGCGAAGGCAGAUCUCUGGGCCGUAACUGACGCUGAGGAGCGAAAGGGUGGGGAGCAAACAGGCUUAGAUACCCUGGUAGUCCACCCCGUAAACGUUGGGCGCUAGAUGUGGGGACCAUUCCACGGUUUCCGUGUCGUAGCUAACGCAUUAAGCGCCCCGCCUGGGGAGUACGGCCGCAAGGCUAAAACUCAAAGGAAUUGACGGGGGCCCGCACAAGCGGCGGAGCAUGCGGAUUAAUUCGAUGCAACGCGAAGAACCUUACCAAGGCUUGACAUAUACGAGAACGGGCCAGAAAUGGUCAACUCUUUGGACACUCGUAAACAGGUGGUGCAUGGUUGUCGUCAGCUCGUGUC